rnacentral:lncRNA from 1 species
AUUAGCCGUCAAACACCCUCUUUAUUUUUUUUAGUGAACUCUAUCAACGUCCACUACCCACACGCCACCAUCUCUCCAUCUCCUUUCACCCAAAAACCACUACUACUCUCCCUUCCUCCUUUUUUUCUAUUUCCACUCUGGUGAGGAGCUUCAAGAUCCAAUAAACUGAGCUCCGUCUAAACUCUCUUAUCCUUUGCUCGGCUUCUCCACCAUUGAUGUGAGCUUGAAGCUCCAACAAUGAAGAAACAACAAAAGAUGUCUUACUCUGACAAACCCCAAAAUAUUGGAGAAACAAACCAGACCCAUAACAUUUCUCCCCUCCCUUUUUCUGAUGAAACAGACCCCAAAACACAAAACAGUGAUACCACAACAACAACUAAACCCAGAAAACACCACCCUCCAUAAAACUAGCACUGUCUUUUGCAACUCUGGUGGUGAUUAACUUUUCAUGAAAUAACAACCACGACCUUCAUGUUGCUCACCAAAACAACAACCCUGAACUAGAUCUGUCCUGAACGAUUUAGCCAGAAAGUUAGACUCAGGUGACCCCUUUUUGCCUUUUUAUAUUUUUGCUAUUAUUUAUAUGUUUUGUCGUUUCCAAGUGUGCUCUCUUUUUUUGAACUAUUUUCUUUACCUUCUUUUACUGAUUUUGUGUUAAUUUUAUUUAAAAUUUUGCUAUGUCGAGAUUUAAGUAUCUCCGAUGAACUAUCUUGAACCAUUAGUUAAUCUUUGUUGAAUUUUAAUAUCUUUUCCGUAUUUAAUUCACCAACUACUGCCACAUUGAUAUUUCAAGUUGUUUAACUUGUUGUCUUUAUUCUUUUUAUACAUUUAUAUGUUUUUCUAGAUCUAUAUUUUUAAUUUUUAUGAGUUGUUUGUUGGAAUAUUUUUUCUUUAUAUUUUCAUAAAAGGGGUGCACAAAUCAAUUUAAUUGGUUAAAGUUCUCCUUAUGUUAUUUAUGUUUCUCUUAAUGAUUGGAAAUAUUUUUCAUUAACAUACGGUCUCAGUUUUUCAUUUUUGCUCACUGUUUCAUCAACUUAUGAAUUUAUUCUUGCUAAUGAUUUAUUUUACUUUUGGUAUUUUUUAAAAUUAUUUGGUUUAUUUCAGUGAUUUAUUUUAAUGUUGAAAAGACUUUUAUAAGAGUGUGUUCAUUUUGCAAUAGUAUUGUUUGGAGGCAUUCUCAGUUAUAACUAAUUGAUUGUUUAAGUGGAUAAGAAAAAAAUAUUUUUGUCUGAUUUUUUAGGCCUCCUCUUAACAAAGAUAAUUUAAUUUUUAUGUUCAAUUAUAUAAUAUCAAAAGUUUUGAUUUACUUGGCUGAUGAAGAAAUUUCCAUUGAUUUUCAAGGUCUCCCAUGUAUACAAGAUGAGUUUUACUUUUUGUUUAUUAUUUUUUAAUUCAUUUUGAUAGACAAAUAGGAGGUCGUCUUCGUUAUUCAUGUCUUACUUUAUUUUUUAUAUAUAUUUUAUAUUUAUUAUACAUGUGUAAAUGAAUUUUUAUCUCCUCCUCAAUUAAAAAAAUGAGUUUAGUCAGAACCCACUUUUGUAGAUUUCGAAGAGUGCCCAAUACCUUCCGUUUGGAAUAACUUGAAUCUUUACCUAAAAUCUAAUUGGUCAUGCAAUUUUUUUUUUCAAUUUAAUCAAUUGGUUUCUUAGUUUUCCUAAAAUUCUGUGGCGACUCUCUAAACAUUUUUACAAUAAUUAAUUAAUUAUUUUCAUAUUCCUAAAGUUGUGCUUUAUGAAAAUAAGAAUGUGACUCUUUUAUUAGCUUUUGAAUGGGUGAAGUAUGGGUGUUCUGCCAAUCUUUGUCAACACAGACCAGUUUCUGUUCUAUUUCCUGAUAUAAUAAAAACAACUCAAAAGACAACUAUGUUAGAUCCUAUUAAUGAUAGAUAAUAUAGAAUAUCUUGACAUAAAGUAAAUACUUAAGAGUUGAUUUAUUGAAGGUGAAUUGGCCCA